rnacentral:lncRNA from 1 species
GACGCGGAACCCUAUGGCACAAGCCUCAAACCCACACGCACAAGUAGAUAUGGAAUCCAAAGAUUUGAUAAACCCACCUCUUAUGGCACCCCACACUUAGAGAAGCUGAAACACCAAUGAUCGAAGGAUUUAGAUGAGAAUCUGACAAACGCCACAAUGAAUAGUUGAUAAGUAAGCCAAGAUUCCUGGUGCAAUUGAUGAAAGCAAAUCCUCACUCUCACUCAAAGCAAUACACGCCAAAGGCAUAAGAAGAAUUCUCAAAUUUUGAUUAAAAGCUGCCUCUUACAAUUGUUUCUUAUCCUUAUAUAGUAAGGAGAAAAACAAAUAAAACCCUAAGACACUCUUUUUGGACCUGACUUAAACACAUAAGGCCCAAGUCCAAUCACACACUAAAAUAACACAUAAGUAUUAAAACAUAAGCCCAAAACAUGGUCCAACACUCUAAAACUUAAAAGAUAAAAUAUGGCCAGAAUACAAGCCCAAACAAAGCUAAAAUAAAAUAAGAGUUCAAAUAAUAAAACAUAGUAAGCCCAUCAUAACAAAGCUGAAUCUUCACAAAAACCUUACUUGAUCUUCACUUUAGACUUCUCUUUAUGUAGUUUUAGCCCAUAGGUUUGAUUAGGCUCCCUAAGCCUAUGAUUGCAAGUGUUGCACCAAAUCUGUCCCAUAUGAGUUGAAGCACGCCCCAAAUAUAUAUGGAUCAUAUGAAUAUGAUUUUGAACUCCUUUUAGAUCCAUUUGAAUGACAUAAGUUUGCUCCACACCAUUGUUAGAAAUUUGCCCUAUUGGAUCCGUAUCAUUCUCUCCUUCUUUAGAAAAGAUUCGUUCUCAAAUAUUGCUGAUAUUUAUGUCAAAAAGAGAAGCUUUAGGAACCCAUGUAUCUUCAAAGACCUCCUUUUGAAUAGGUGGAAAUAGGAUAAAACUUUUGUUAUGACUGUUUUCAUCAACAACCUGCACAUCAAGAACAAAUGAACUAGGCAUAAAAAUAUUAGUCAUAGAUAGAUCUUGUGGAUGUGACCCAUUCUUCUCUACAACUUCCAAAACAGUCUCAUUCGCCUCCUCCACCUCAUCAAUCACGUGCUCCCCAUGUCCUUCAUCAUUCACAACCUCUUCUAUAAGUUCAUUGAUGGAAUUCUCAACAACAACUACAUUAGAUUCAUGCAUUACAACUUCCUCUUCAAUUUCAAUCUCUAUGAAAGUUGAGAUUGGAACUUUAGCCUCUUCUUCCUCCUUUUCUUUCUCCACCUUCCCUCCUUGAACUAGUCUUGAUUCUUUUCCAGCCUCUUUACCCUCAAACUCACUCUUUUCUCUCAUCUUUUCCGUAGAAUUUAAGCUCUCACUCCCUUUUGUGGCCAAGGCCGAAGUCUCCCUCUCCCUCUCCAGCAUCUUUAUUUAAUCAAUAUAUACCUCUUUGGGUGAUAAAGGAGCGAGUAUAACCUUCUGUCCUUUAUGAGUGAAGGAGUACUUGUUAUUAAACCCAUCAUAUUGCACCUUUCUAUCAUGUUGCCACGGUCUACCUAACAACAUAUGGCUUGCCUGCAUAGGUAUCACAUCACAUAAUAUCUCAUCCUUGUACCUACCAAUAGAAAAUGGUAUAACCACCUGGCGUGUAACCCUAACGUCUCCACAAUCAUUCAACCAUUGCAAUCUAUAUGGCUUAGGGUGUUUAAUAGAAGCCAAGCCCAAUUUUUCCACCAUAUACACACUAGCCACAUUUGUGCAACUACCUCCAUCAAUAAUGAGAGUACACACUUUUCUAUUAACCAAACACCUAGUGUGAAAUAUGUUUUUCCGUUGUUCUAGGCUUUCUUCCUUAACCUGCAUAUUCAGAGCACGCCUAGCAACAAGCAUCUCACAAUGUACAGCAAGCAACAAAUUAUUAACCAACACAUCCGAAUCAUCAUAGUCAUUAUUACAAUUAAGAGUUCUUUGAGGUAUUCUUGUAGAAGUGGAAGCUUAUGAGACAUUCAAACUCUCCAUAGUUUCAGUUAACCUCUCAAGAGUCUUAUUGAGCCUUUGUAACUCACCACUGACUGACUUCUUAAAGAGCUUAUAAUCGUUACCCAUAUUCGAUUCACUUUCAUCAGUACGAUCCACCACAUUCUUGUCUUUACUCAUCCUACCUUAAAUCAACAAAGAACAAAAAGGACUAGCAAAUAUUGUGUUAAAAAAAGAAAGUACUCAAGUGUUUGCACUCUUACCAUUCUGUUGCUGAUUCUUCAAUUGCACUUCAGAAACUAAGGUCAACCAACUAACCACAAGGUGCGUUUAAUGAAACAAAGAAGAAAUCCUAAAGAAAGAAGGAAGCGCGCAAAAACUUGAAAGAAGACACUGACAAUUUGGAAAGUAACACAUGAACUAGGUUUUGUGCUACUUGAAAAAUAUCACCUAGAGUAUAGACAAAAGCAAAUAAUACUCCAGCAAUGUCAAGGAAGUAAAAGUAAGCUUAAACCAAAAAAGAAACUUUGAAUUCAAAUAAAAACGAAUCUGGACAAAAAUUUGAAUUUAAUUCACUUCAACGCAAAUUAAAUACGGAUCUAUUUAAAUCUACCCAAAAAGGCAAGUAUCAAAAUCCCAUAAAUAGAAAAAAAAAAUAAAUUUCACUUAGUGCAGCAUCAUGGACGAAAAUGGGCAUUAAAAGAAGGAUUUGACACCAAAUCGAUUUAGAUGCAGUUGUCUUCAAUGUGCACCUUAAGGAAUAGGAAGAUUUAUUUUGUCUCCUAAUCUGGAUUCAACCCAAUUCAAAAUUCAAAAUUGAUUCCCAUAAACUACAGCAAUCAAUUGAGAUAGGUAAGGAAAUAUAGAUGAAAAAGGAAGCAUAUCACAAUUUCGGCCAGAUCAAGAUAAAUAUGGCAAAGGUGAUUUUUUUUUCGUUUUUUUUUUAUUUCAAAUUUUUUCUUCCAAAAAGAGAUUAUGCAAUAAUUUAUCAAGAAGGUGUAGCCAUGAAUACAAAAGCUUUCACCGAAAUCAAUAACGAAGAAAAGAAAACUCAAAAAAAUAACUCUAGAUCCUGAGAUAAAUAAGAAUUUACCUCACUUUGGCUCUGAUACUAACUGACGCGGAACUCUAUGGCAUAAGCCUCAAACCCACACGCACAAGUAGAUAUGGAAUCCAAAGAUUUGAUAAACCCACCUCCUAUGGCACCCCACACUUAGAGAAGCUGAAACACCAAUGAUCGAAGGAUUUAGAUGAGAAUCUGACAAACGCCACAACGAAUAGUUGAUAAGUAAGCCAAGAUUCCUGGUGCAAUUGAUGAAAGCAAAUCCUCACUCUCACUCAAAGCAAUACACGCCAAAGGC